GGUGGCGGGGCCAGGCCACGGGCGGGAGCAGAGACACCGCGGAGCCCUGCAGAUGCUGUGGCCGACCCGGCAGUGCGGGCCAGAGCCUCUCCGCCCCCAUAGCCACAAGUAGUCUAGGGUAGGUUUGAGCUACUAGGCAAAUACCACACUAACCACUUUUUCGAUAAUUAAAAAAAUCAUUUGAAAUAUUUUUUUUAAUUGAAAAAGAUCUUUUAAUUUCAGCUCUUUUAUUCUGCAGGUAUAUUAUUCUGCAUGUUUUAAAAUUAUAUAAAACAUUUGUGUAGACAAUAAGCAAUUUAGAAAAAAUAAGAUUUUGCAUUUCUAAAAUUAUAAUUGAAAACAAAAUCUGACAUUCUCUGCUAUGUCUUAUCUGAAUGCUUCAGAUAAUGGUAGUGUAGUCAGUGACUAAAAUAUUUUUAUCAAAUUUCCUCUCUGUAGACGCCUGCAGGUAUUGACGUCUGUCAGAUCUCGUCACAUUGGCUGGUGCUGCAGCUGUUGGAGAGUAUUUUUCUUUAUGAUUAUUUUAGAAAAAAAAACUUUCCUUUCCACAAUGUGGUUUUCUUAGAAGAACAACGUAUCUUCUCUUCCUCAGCGAGUUUGACACAUUGUGCCCAGGGCAGCCCUGUCCUUGGGCAGUGGCCGCACACCAAAGCUGGGAGGAGGCUGGUCCGGGGGGCCUGGGCGGAAGACAGUGAUUUGCAGGGGCGGCUCCCAGACACCCUGCCCAGGGAUGGGCUGGGCACCACCUGGGGGCGGAGCGUGAGCUCCAGACGAGCUCCUGCGUGCGCGUGUGUGUCUGCGCCCACCUACGUGACCCUGCUCGUCCCGUCUGAAGGACUCUCCUAGGAGGCCAGGUUGCCCCUCCAGACCCCUCCCAACGUCAGGGGGAAGGAAACGUUGACUUUCACUGCACUUUGAUUCGUCUCUAAACCAUUUGCUGGGGAUUCCUGAGACCAGAGCUCCCGGCGGGCCCUGCCUCCCAAGUCCCGCCGCAAGGCUACCUCGGGUGUGUGGAUGUGCGAGGGCCUCCCCCGCGUGCGUAGGGGACAUGCGUGCUGGAACCUGUCAGAACUCCAUGCCUUCCUCGCCUGCUCACCUGCUCACCUGCUCGACGCUGGAGUCAGGACAGGUGCAAGGGGAAGCAUACAUCUGGGACAGCUAAGGCCCGUGUCACCGGAGGGCUCUGCACAGUCGUUCUGGUUUCAGCGAAUAAGCAAAACUCGGGCAAGUACUGCAGCUAUUUGGAAAUGUUUUCCAAACCACAGUCUCUUUAGAACUAAGCCGUUUCUGCUCUUCUGAUGUGAAACGGUCGGUGUAAGCUUACUGAGAUCAGGAGACAGGGAGGCCUCACACAUCACACAGAUAAAGUCAGACAAUUGUAAUACUUUUGCUGCCUCAAGUUGUUUUUUAAAUAAAGAACUUUGAAAUGCAUGAGAACCAUGCUGCAAUAUGAUCAUUCUAGAGCAAAUAUAUAUACACACAUAUAUAUAUUUCAAGAUGAAACUAAAGCAGUUUUUAAAUAAAUUACUUGAAUUUUCUGUGUAUUUAAAGGAACGACUGUUUAAUGUACUUGAUGGGCCUCUGGUCUUGCCGUGUCUCCUGCCACUGGUGGCACUUCGUAGAUUGUGUGUUUGUGUCCGGGUGGCAGUUGGGUACCUGCUCACGCACGGUGCGUCUGCCAGGCCACGGUGUCCCAGGAUCGCAGAGGACUGACUUCAAGACUUCAAGAACAUUUUCUGGAUGUGUGGAAACUUGAGAAUGGCCUUGUGAAUCUCGUGCUUGGACAGGGCAAGUCCGACUACUGAAAGUGCCGCCAGCUUUGCUGCGAGCCCUCCGGCCAGCGGGAGUCCCGUGGGCUGGGCACUUUGGCCCUUCUCUGGGGGACGGCACCCCUGGCUUCCUCACCUCGGCCGAGCGUCCGUGGCAGCUCACUCUAUGCAACUUGAUCCUCUAGUGGCUUUAAGACUGUAGACCCCCUCUCUGAGACCUGGCUGUACUUGUCAGGAUCUCGAGGCGCAGUCCCCGUCUUAGCUGGUUUCUCCGGCUUCUCGUCCUGACUGUAAAACAGACGGAGGCAAGAGAGCAGCGGAUAUGGGAUGGCAGUGGCCUGACCCGAAUCAAGAUCCGACCCAAACCACACCAAACGUGGGUUCAUCUGGGGGCCACCCCUUGCCCAAGGCUUCCCACCCUCACCUGAAGGCCCAGGGGCCGGAUCCAGGACUCACCAAAGCCGAUUCCUCACCAGCUGGGAGUGCAGAAGUCUCAGGGCCUGGCUGUGACUUGAUUUUUAGGAGAAAGAGGGGCUUCACAACCCCCCUCUGAACAGUGUGUUAACCCUUGAGAUCCCAGCCUCGACUAAUCUGAAGUAAGGACAACAAAGGCCAUUCAGUGCCCUCCACGUGGCCUUGCCACAGUCACUGUCAGUAUGAACGCGCCGGACACCAGUGCCAGCCAGGGACAGGCGUGACUGCUGUGUGCUCCUCGGUGACAGGAGUCAGUGGCUGCACACUUUGUAGAUUCGUCAAGCUAUCAGCACUUCAGGUGUUUGCAAGCAAAGCCCUUAGUGUGCAGGUCAGUGUGUGGACCCCAAAUGAGGGGACCACGGGGGCUGGGGUCCAGGGUCAGUAGAGUCGGUUUCUGGAGCUGCCUUCCUGGGAGGCAGGUGCAGGUGACCAGGGCUCUUGCGGUGUGUGUGGGCCCGGCCUGACCACAGCGAGGACCAGGUCGCCACAUCUUUAGCCUCAACCCUUCCCUUGCACUGAGAUUAUUUCCAGAUUGCACUCACUUGAAACUGUCCGUGUCGUCACCUUGUGUCUUAAGGGAAGCCGAGAAGAAGGGCAGGUGGGCAGGCUGUCUUGUCUGCAAAGCAUCAUUGCGCCCGCAGCUUGCAUUGGUCAGGCUGCAGCUCAGGUGUCUGUGGCUUCUAACCUUGUACCUCAGAUAGAUGCAGUACCAAGGCGGAGCUGGGGACACUGGUCAGUGUCAAAGGGGAGGCGCUCUGGCUGGCAGCCUUGCCCGAGAGGACGAGGAGGCCGUGCCGGCGCCCGCUGGGGAAGCUGGCCAGCCAUCCAGCAGCUGGAGUUGGGCUCAUGGCACCCUUGGGGUGUGGGCUGUGCAGGCUGGUGGCCCGGGUGCCUCUGCACGCUGACUGGAGUGUCAGGCAGGGUGUGUCGGUUGGUCACGUCUUGUGUAAUGUGCACAGACCAGUUACCAAACGAGGAUAACGUUGGUCUCAUUUGUGGUGGUUUUGUUCCCUAUACAAGUCAGCUAAGUAAAGACUUUUAACGAGUUUCCCCUUCACACAUGGCAGAAGUUUCCAGGUGCAGGAAUGCGAGCUGGUGGGAAGGGGCAGAGGUCGUGAGCUCUCGGCUGGGCCGGCCUGCCUGUGCCCCCUUUCCUGGGUCUGUCGGCAGACUGGCAUCAUGACGUUCCCUGGUGGCUGAAGAGCUAGCUUUGGAGUGUUGUUUUUCUCACUCGCAGGCAGGGGCCUUAGCUGGAAUCAUCCGACCUACCACUGAUCAGGCCAGCGCGGUGUGCUGCCUCUUGGACACCUGUCCUUGAAAGCCUCAGGCCCCUGGGAGAAGCACUCUGUCCAGUCCUGUCCCCGGGGGGAAGCAGGGCCACCGAGCCCUCCUCAGAUGGUUAGUGGCUUCCAGCAGCCCUCAGGAGUGUUUGUUGAAGGCCCCAGGUGUGGAGAACUUGGUCUGUGACCACCUAAACCCCAGAGCUGAACAGGACCGUCCUGGCUGCAACAAGAGGGGUGGGGCUGCAGGCCGCCCUUGGCUUUCCCACCGCUGGGGCGGUGAUGUUCGGGUGACAUGUUUGAAAAAUACUCUCAAUGAUACCAGCUGUUCCCUUCUAUGGCUAAUGGUUUGUGCAGCCACCAGCGAUGGCGGCCGCUAUUAGAGACCAGGUUUGUAAAACACCAAAUAUUGCUGUCCACACUAGACACUCACCGGCUUCAGAAAAGAUGGACACCUUUUCCCACGCUGUUUCGCUUCUUAACUUUGGUCCAGCUUUAGCCACCACACAGCGUGCGAGGGACUGCUGCUGUGGAGUCAGUCUUGUUUGUCCCUCCGCCUCCCACCAGCACGCGCUGCUUCUGAGAGACACCAGCUCCCUGCCUCCAAGCCUGGUGCCACAGGCCUGUCGUGAGGGACCCCCGCUUCCGAGAGCUCCUGGGGGGGGCUCUGCCUUUCACCACCUGGGAGAGGUGUCAGUUCAGUUCCGAGUUGAACAAGGCCUGUGCACACAGCAUGUUGGGGACCCAGCCUAAAGUUCUUGUCACCUCAUGCAAAGCCAGCCAUCACUUUCCGGCCAGAGCCCCCAAACCUCAAGGUGGCCCCUUGGCCAGCCCCUCCUUGGGUCCUCCAGGAGGACUGAGCACCCCUCCCAGCAGCAUCCCUUGCCCUCCACAGGGCUGCCAGGGGCACGUCGCUCUGUGCCGUGGACUGAGACCAUCUCCUGGUGACAGAAUGACCCGUUUGUUGGAAAUGCCUCAUUGCCAGAGAAACUCCCCAGGCAUCUCGGAACGAAACUAUUUAGUUCCAUUGUGAACUGGCCACAGGACAGCUUUUUAUCAACUUAUUAAGUUGGAGCACUAUAAUAGCUCUUGCUGAUUUAGCAAUGGUGUUAAGUGUGUGUUAAACACAUGUUACGUUUUAUGAGGAGGAGGUCGUAAGGAAGUGUCGUGUCGCUCAUGACUCUUUUCUAUUAGUUGGGUAACAGUGGCCUCAUGUUUGUGUCUGUGUGUACACAGAGCCCUUGGGUUCUGCCCUGUUUCUUUGCCAGGUGAAUGUUUGUGGCAUGUGCUGCUGUCCGCGCCCCUCUGUCCUGCACAGGGUUCGGCUGUGCAGCGCCCUGAUUUCCUCCAUGCACAGAGAACCUCCUUGCGUCUGUUCCUCUGUUCCUCUGUGGCUGACUCAAUAAACUUUUCCCUCUGACAUGA